AUUAAAUGAAUUAUUAAAUUUGGACUUUGUGGUCUUCCAUAAGCAAAAUAAAAAGAAAAGAAAUUGGUUUUUUUUUCUUCUUCAUUUCCGUCAACCUUCAUCUCCUCUCUCAUCUCUCUCUUUUUCUUAACUCUCCAUCUCCACAAACUCCAUUAAAGCUCAAUUUUGAGCUUGUAUAUCAUAAAAUUUCACCAUAGAAAAAUUAGCCACCAUAGUUAAAGCUUAUUUAGGCAACUUGAGAAGAGGAUUGAGCAAGAAAGAAAGAAAGAAAGAAGAACAAAAGUUAGGGUUUUGAAGAUUUAAGAAAGUGGAAAAGAAUACCGGGACAGAACCCGAGGAGUCGAGUCAAGGCCAACAGGCGACUCGUUUGAGAUACAGAGACUAGAGGAGCAGCAGACUGAGCUGCUGAGGUGUGUGAAGUCAUCAGCUUGAAGCCUUCGAGUAUAAUUUAUACCCUAACUGUAAAUAUUUCUUUUGAUGUAUAUAUUGCACAUAAAUGUAUGGACAUGUAAAAAUGGGUCUUG